rnacentral:rRNA from 1 species
UACGGGGGGGGGCAAGCGUUGUUCGGAAUUACUGGGCGUAAAGGGCUCGUAGGCGGCCAACUAAGUCGAACGUGAAAUCCCUCAGCUUAACUGGGGAACUGCGUCUGAUACUGGAUGGCUUGAGUUUGGGAGAGGGAUGCGGAAUUCCAGGUGUAGCGGUGAAAUGCGUAGAUAUCGAGAGGAACACCUGCGGCGAAGGCGGGUUGCUGGGCUGACACUGACGCUGAUGCGCGAAAGCCAGGGGAGCGAACGGG